rnacentral:lncRNA from 1 species
AUGUGCUUGCUGAGGACGCUUGAGAAAGUACAGGGGAGCGAGAAGCCGGGUGUGAAACGGCCCAGCCAGCGAGAGCGGCAGUCCUGCUGCUCUCUGCUCAUCUCAGGGCCGCGCAGCCUGGCCUUCAGGGCCCCAGGUGUGGCCUGUGGUCACGUUCAGCCCACACCAGCACCCACGGGCAGGGACAGGGAGAGGCGUGGGCUCCAGCCCUGCACUGGGGGCCCAGAAGCCAGCCCCCGUGGGGACAAACACUCAGGGUCUGAUUCUCAGGGCAGUGGGCCUGGCGGCCGCAGACUGAAGACAGAAGCUCAGUUGUGGGCCCUCCAGGUCCUCGAUGAUCUCCUGGAUGCGCUUCUUGGCUGCCUCCACGCAGUCCUUGGCGCCCUUGAGGGUGACCUUGUCGCUCUGCGUGCCGGAGCGCGGGAAGCUGACCAUCACCCCGCCAUACUCCUCGGCGAUCUCCCGCAGCACCUGACCUCUCCGGAUGCCGAAGUGACGGUGGUGCUUGGGGUCCACCAGCAUGCAGUCUUCAACCACGUUGUCCUGGGGGGUUGGGAAGGGUUCAGCAGGAGCCCCUGCUCGCCCGCCUCCCGCAGCCCAGGGCCAGCGCCGCCCGCCCGCCUGGCUCACCAGGUUCUGGAUGAGCGCCUCCAGCUCCCGCUGGGCCUCCCUGACGGCAUCCUCCUUCCCGAUGAUGGUGAUCAGGUCCUGCUCGCGGUCCUCGGCCGCCGCGAAGACGAUGCGCGCCCCCGCGCGGAUGCGCGCCCCGGUGCUGUCCCGCACCUUGCGGAUUUUCCCGCCCCCUUUGCCGAUGAGGAACUUGUGAUACUCAGGCUUGGCGCGGAUGUCAACUGUGAAGCUCUUGGUUUGCUGCAGAAACCAAUCCAGCUUCGUUGGCCUGGCGCCACCUAUGCGGCCCCUGGGACAGCGGGAUGAGGAAGUUCUCCUCACACUGCCACCAACGACCUUCCAAACGGGGCUGUUCGGAUCUCACCAUGGACACCCAGACCAGGCAGCACGUGCAUUCCCUUCCCGCCAUGAACGAGAACCCCAGUCCUGCCCCCGACAGCAGCCUGCGCCUCUGUAAGCUGUUCCCACCUCUCCAGGCCUGGGCACCCCCACGCCGCCUGGCCCCGGGGACAGUGCCUUGCCCAGUGCUCACUCCAGGGCUCCAGGUGACCCAUGCCCCCAGGUCAGAGACUGCCAAGCCAACCAAGGCCGUAUCUGACCAUGAAACCGGAGCCCAGCAGAGGCCCCGGCCCAGUGACCUCGCUGAGCGAUCCUCUGGCAGGGGGUCUGCAGAACUCAAGGGCACACCCCCCAGGCAGACAAGCCCACACUGGGCACUCUCUCCUUUCUCUUGUUGUGAGACCAGCCCCCAAGCUGAACAUCAAAUAACUGAAUUGUUAUCUGUAAGUGCUGGUUUCACAACCAUCACUGAAAAUCUUCAACUUUUCAGACACUCAAACAGCAGCAUUUAAAAAAACUAAAAAACUGGAAAAUUCUGAGAGAGAUGGGAAUACCAGACCACCCGACCUGCCUCUUGAGAAACCCAUAUGCAGGGCAGGAAGCAACAGUUAGAACUGGACACGUGAAAAACUUUUAUAAACGUUUUAAAAUAUUUCUAUAUGACUU